rnacentral:misc_RNA from 1 species
GAUGAAGAACGUAGCGAAAUGCGAUAAGUAGUGUGAAUUGCAGAAUUCAGUGAAUCAUCGAAUCUUUGAACGCACAUUGCGCCCCUCGGUAUUCCGUGGGGCAUGCCUGUUCGAGCGUCAUUUAACCCCUCAAGCCUAGCUUGGUAUUGGGUGCUUGUCCCGCCUCUCGCGCGGCGACUCACCUCAAAGUCAUUGGCAGCCCGCAUCUCGCCGGCCGUGAGCGCAGCACAGACGCGCUCUAGGCAACGACGGAUCGGCUCUCCAAAAGCUUAUUUCAACCACUGACCUCGGAUCAGGUAGGGAUACCCGCUGAACUUAAGCAUAUCAAUAAGCGGAGGA